CAGUCGCCGCGGUAAUACAGAGGGUGCAAGCGUUAAUCGGAAUUACUGGGCGUAAAGCGUGCGCAGGCGGUGUUGUAAGACUGAUGUGAAAUCCCCGGGCUCAACCUGGGAACUGCAUUGGUGACUGCAACGCUGGAGUGCGGCAGAGGGGGAUGGAAUUCCGCGUGUAGCAGUGAAAUGCGUAGAUAUGCGGAGGAACACCGAUGGCGAAGGCAAUCCCCUGGGCCUGCACUGACGCUGAGGUACGAAAGCAUGGGGAGCAAACAGGAUUAGAUACCCGAGUAGUCCCUGUCUCUUAUAA
rnacentral:rRNA from 1 species